rnacentral:rRNA from 1 species
UGGAAAGCGGCGGACGGGUGAGUAACGCGUAGGCAACCUGCCCUGUACAGGGGGAUAGCCACCCGAAAAGGUGAUUAAUACCCCAUAACGCAAGAGAUACACAUGUAUCACUUGUCAAAGAUUUAUCGGUAUAGGAUGGGCCUGCGUCUGAUUAGCUAGUUGGUAGGGUAACGGCUUACCAAGGCAACGAUCAGUAGCCGACCUGAGAGGGUGAUCGGCCACAUUGGAACUGAGACACGGUCCAAACUCC